AGCAGCAGAGCAGUGCGGGGGCUUUCUCGUCUCGCCCGUGCCCGCGUGCCCCGCUCCCGCCCUGGGCCGGCGGGGGCCUGCCGCCGCCCGUGCUCAGCUCGGGCAACGAGAAACGCUGCUUUCCCUGUUGCCUCUUAAAUCAUUUAUUCUCUCUUUGCCGCAAAUCAGGGUCGCUUCUUGCCCCUCGCGCUCCAGUUGUCCAAGGCAACCGAAUCACCAGUACGAAUCAACGGGCAUCUCCGGAAGAAAUGGCUGCACCAUUAACAACGGCUAGGAGUGCCGGUGUCCCUGGUGUAUGGAUCUGUCAAGCACUAGAUAAAAUAACAACCUCCCGGCUAGGAAAAGAUACGGAGAUCGCUUCUCUGCACCUUGAAAAAAAAAAAAAGCCCUUCAAAGCAUUCAUUAUUUUCCGUAUUUGCCCUCAGGUUACAACAGAGACAAGCCAAGGAUUUCGCUAUGAGACUUCAAGCCUCUGACUGAUAUUAAUAAUGGAGGCAGGGAAAUAUUCGCUGGUAUCACCGGUCUCCAAACGAGCCCAUGACAAGGCGCAGGAUGAAAACCCCGGCUCUGCAACUCGGGAGAGCUGCACAGUUCGUGACUGGUCAAGGAAAGGAUCUGCUCGAGCAACUACAUGGCUCAAGCUCCACUGAGUGCCAUAGCAGCAGGAGCUGCAGCGCUCAGGACGGUCCUGCUUUUAACUAAUUCACAGCUGAGAAAGGGACCAAUACACGCAUGGGGUUUGGGGGCGGUUCGGAGGAAAAAGAAAAGCAGCUCGCCAACGCAGAAAAGAGUCUUACUCUUCGGAGGUGUGGAAGAGGUUAAACCCAAGUGUUUCUUUGAAAUUUAUAAAGGUAAUGCAGGGGGGGUUUAGGAAUGACCUGCUUAAAGGUAGCUGAAAAAGUAUCCUCCCCCCAUUUAGGCAUACAUCCGCACCUAGCUCCAGAAAUAUCUUAAGACUGCUGGUAGUUUCCUGCUCCCCAGCAGGCUAGUGAAGGACCCUGGGCUUAAAGGUAAUCGUCAAGGAUUUAGAAAGGCUACUGAAAGAUUUUAGUGAUCUGCAGAAUAGGAAUUGAAUCUGCAAAAAGCGAGCAAUGAAAUAAUUUACUUAACUGCAGAGAGGGAGGGAGCGUGUCUGUCUGAGAGAGAUCUCUCCCCCUUUCAGUUAUGCUGGAUGUCACCUCCUUGGUGUAGUAUGCAAACGGAGCACCUCUUUUAGGUGCCUUCCAAUAACUGAAUAUUUUCUUGUUCAAGAAGAAAACUCGAGAUCGGAGGGAUCUGUCCGGUUGCACUGAAGCCAGACUCAUCAGUCAUCAAUCAAGACAGCUGUACAUUUCUCCCAGAUGUAAACGGGUGAAUAAACUAAAGUACUACGAUGCAUCUGCCUUAGCA